GGGGGCAUGACUUGUUCAUGCAGUCGAGCUGAUCACAUUUGGGAGCUUGCUCCCAAAGAUUAGCGGCGGACGGGUGAGUAACACGUGGGCAACCUGCCUAUGAGACUGGGAUAACUCCGGGAAACCGGGGCUAAUACCGGAUAAUUCUUUUCUACACAUGUAGAAAAGCUGAAAGAUGGUUUCGGCUAUCACUCAUAGAUGGGCCCGCGGCGCAUUAGCUAGUUGGUGAGGUAACGGCUCACCAAGGCGACGAUGCGUAGCCGACCUGAGAGGGUGAUCGGCCACACUGGGACUGAGACACGGCCCAGACUCCUACGGGAGGCAGCAGUAGGGAAUCUUCCGCAAUGGACGAAAGUCUGACGGAGCAACGCCGCGUGAGUGAUGAAGGUUUUCGGAUCGUAAAACUCUGUUGUUAGGGAAGAACAAGUACCGGAGUAACUGCCGGUACCUUGACGGUACCUAACCAGAAAGCCACGGCUAACUACGUGCCAGCAGCCGCGGUAAUACGUAGGUGGCAAGCGUUGUCCGGAAUUAUUGGGCGUAAAGCGCGCGCAGGUGGUCUCUUAAGUCUGAUGUGAAAGCCCCCGGCUCAACCGGGGAGGGUCAUUGGAAACUGGGAGACUUGAGUGCAGGAGAGAAGAGUGGAAUUCCACGUGUAGCGGUGAAAUGCGUAGAGAUGUGGAGGAACACCAGUGGCGAAGGCGACUCUUUGGCCUGUAACUGACACUGAGGCGCGAAAGCGUGGGGAGCAAACAGGAUUAGAUACCCUGGUAGUCCACGCCGUAAACGAUGAGUGCUAAGUGUUAGAGGGUUUCCCCCCUUUAGUGCUGCAGCAAACGCAUUAAGCACUCCGCCUGGGGAGUACGGCCGCAAGGCUGAAACUCAAAGGAAUUGACGGGGGCCCGCACAAGCGGUGGAGCAUGUGGUUUUAUUCGAAGCACCGCGAAAAACCUUACCAGGUCUUGACAUCCUCUGACACUCCUAAAAAAAAGGUCGUUCCCCUUCGGGGGACAAAAUGACAAGUGGUGGCAUGGUUUUUCUUCAACUUCAGGGCAUGAGGAUAGUAGGGGUAAUUUU
rnacentral:rRNA from 2 species